GGAGAGGUGUCCGAGUGGCCGAUGGAGCACGCUUGGAAAGCGUGUGUUCGUGAAAACGAACCGAGGGUUCGAAUCCCUCCCUCUCCG
rfam:Peregrinibacteria bacterium GW2011_GWA2_44_7 TW70_C0044, whole genome shotgun sequence.